rnacentral:lncRNA from 1 species
GAUAUAAGAAGAGGGAAAAUGAGCUCUCUGAACUCCUGAGAUGGCUGCAGAGACAGCAGAGUUGACACACAGCAGGGGCAUAGACACCUUCCUGGACAGAGAAGAAAGCCCGGGAAGACUUGUGUCCUCUAGUUUUGUGGGUGUUGCUAUCCUCUCAGCUCCUGCCUGUACCGACUGCCCAUUCAGCCUCUUUUUCUUGCCCCUUC